rnacentral:rRNA from 1 species
UUAUGAGAGUUUGAUCCUGGCUCAGGACGAACGCUGGCGGCGUGCCUAAUACAUGCAAGUCGAACGCUUCUUUUUCCACCGGAGCUUGCUCCACCGGAAAAAGAGGAGUGGCGAACGGGUGAGUAACACGUGGGUAACCUGCCCAUCAGAAGGGGAUAACACUUGGAAACAGGUGCUAAUACCGUAUAACAAUCGAAACCGCAUGGUUUUGAUUUGAAAGGCGCUUUCGGGUGUCGCUGAUGGAUGGACCCGCGGUGCAUUAGCUAGUUGGUGAGGUAACGGCUCACCAAGGCCACGAUGCAUAGCCGACCUGAGAGGGUGAUCGGCCACAUUGGGACUGAGACACGGCCCAAACUCCUACGGGAGGCAGCAGUAGGGAAUCUUCGGCAAUGGACGAAAGUCUGACCGAGCAACGCCGCGUGAGUGAAGAAGGUUUUCGGAUCGUAAAACUCUGUUGUUAGAGAAGAACAAGGAUGAGAGUAACUGUUCAUCCCUUGACGGUAUCUAACCAGAAAGCCACGGCUAACUACGUGCCAGCAGCCGCGGUAAUACGUAGGUGGCAAGCGUUGUCCGGAUUUAUUGGGCGUAAAGCGAGCGCAGGCGGUUUCUUAAGUCUGAUGUGAAAGCCCCCGGCUCAACCGGGGAGGGUCAUUGGAAACUGGGAGACUUGAGUGCAGAAGAGGAGAGUGGAAUUCCAUGUGUAGCGGUGAAAUGCGUAGAUAUAUGGAGGAACACCAGUGGCGAAGGCGGCUCUCUGGUCUGUAACUGACGCUGAGGCUCGAAAGCGUGGGGAGCAAACAGGAUUAGAUACCCUGGUAGUCCACGCCGUAAACGAUGAGUGCUAAGUGUUGGAGGGUUUCCGCCCUUCAGUGCUGCAGCUAACGCAUUAAGCACUCCGCCUGGGGAGUACGACCGCAAGGUUGAAACUCAAAGGAAUUGACGGGGGCCCGCACAAGCGGUGGAGCAUGUGGUUUAAUUCGAAGCAACGCGAAGAACCUUACCAGGUCUUGACAAACCUGAAAACUGGCAGAUGGAAUAUGCUCCAGAACCUAAAAUCGCGGCAGAAAUCCAACUGUCGUCAGCUCGUGUCGUGAGAUGUUGGGUUAAGUCCCGCAACGAGCGCAACCCUUAUUGUUAGUUGCCAUCAUUCAGUUGGGCACUCUAGCAAGACUGCCGGUGACAAACCGGAGGAAGGUGGGGAUGACGUCAAAUCAUCAUGCCCCUUAUGACCUGGGCUACACACGUGCUACAAUGGGAAGUACAACGAGUUGCGAAGUCGCGAGGCUAAGCUAAUCUCUUAAAGCUUCUCUCAGUUCGGAUUGCAGGCUGCAACUCGCCUGCAUGAAGCCGGAAUCGCUAGUAAUCGCGGAUCAGCACGCCGCGGUGAAUACGUUCCCGGGCCUUGUACACACCGCCCGUCACACCACGAGAGUUUGUAACACCCGAAGUCGGUGAGGUAACCUUUUGGAGCCAGCCGCCUAAGGUGGGAUAGAUGAUUGGGGUGAAGUCGUAACAAGGUAGCCGUAUCGGAAGGUGCGGCUGGAUCACCUCCUUU